rnacentral:tRNA from 4 species
GGAGGCGUGGCGGAGUGGCUUAUCGCGGGCGGCUGUCCAACGGGACCCGCUCCGGGCUUUCGGGCUCGCGCAGGUUCGAAUCCUGUCGCCUUACU